AGCAAGCAAAUCAUAAUUACUAAUUGUAUGGAGUAUUAACAUGUUUGGCAUCGACACAACACCUAUUCAUGUGAUUAUAUUUAAUUAUUCCAAUUUCUCAAAUUAUUACCGGGCGUGUCGUGUUCGGGGUACAUCUCUCUGUGUUUUUGCUUCAUAGUUACAAGACAAUUUAGAUUGAAGGCGUGUUUGGUGGCCAUUGGCCAAUACCAAUAUGACACCAACAUAUGUAGUUGGUUAUAUUUAAAUAUUCCAUUUUCUCAAAUUAUUAUUGUUGUCGACGUGUCAGUUGUGUCUGACAGUGAUUCACAGAUUACAAGAAAUUUAGAUUAAUAUUUACGACAUAAGAAUCAACUCUUCCUUCUAAAGAAUU
rnacentral:lncRNA from 1 species